UCACGUUUGAUCAAUUUGUUUGAAGAUUAGAUGAUGAGUACAGAGGAUGUAGGGCAAAUCUGUGGUUUCAGACUAAAUCUAGAGAAAGAAAGUCAAAGCCAUAAUUUAAUUUCCAGCUAAAAACAUAUUUUUAGCUCAUGUUAUAGGAUCUGGGGCACUCUUAUUCUUACCACGAGUCCAGCUCACGAAUUAAGUUCUCAGACUGACUCCCACCCUACACCUAAACAACUGAGGUCCCACACAUGCCGGUCUCCACUUCAAGCCCAGCCUUCCUUUUCUCUCGCUGCUGAACAACCAAAGCCGGUGAUUGGCUCCUCCCGCCUCGAAGUUCAAGAUCCUCCCGCUUCUCCUACAACUGGGAUGAGGAACAUUUGUAUGGCCAAGAGGUGACCGACUCUAGAAAGACGAAGGUAGUUUACGGAAGUUGUGCAAUGCAUCACUUCCGGGUACGCCCCGUUGGCUUCCAAGGUCUUCCGUGGGAAUUUACUGCGUCUGCGCCCAGCGGCUCCCUGCCAGAGAGUUAUUUCCCUAGUUAUUUCUUUAGAUGGUGAGACCAAGUUUAAGAUUUCAUUAAAAGAAAUUCCUGAAGAAGCAAAAUUGCACAUGACUUCAUGAGGGGGAUUCUAGAAGGGAACAGUAACCAGGAACUUGAGUUUGGAAGACCUCUAAAAAAUAUAGAAGUUUAAAAAUUCAAGAAGGAAAACUUACAAGGGAAAAAACUGAAGAGAGAAAAAGAAAAGAGACUGAAUGCAAAUGAUAACCAAGGACAAGCAAAUUCCUUCAGGAGAGAAAACAGAAAUAUAAAAAAUUUAUUUCAUUUCAAAGAAUCCAUAUCAAGAUGAACCAGAAGAAAAACUCAAAUCAGAAAAAUUUGCAAGAAAAAGCAGCACACACACUAUAACCUGAUUCUGUAGUCUUUUGCUUUAAGGGUCCAGUUUCAAAAAAAGGUGGCAGAUUAGAGAGGCAGUGGAAGAACCCAAAAAAAGAGAUAAUGAAGAGAGAAAGGAGAGAUUUUAGGCAAGUGAGAAUCAAAGGCAAGAAAACCUCUGCCAAAGAAAGAAGCCAGAAAUGUAAGCAGUCUGAAAAAAACUUUUGUCAGAGUUCUCAUUUCAUUUCACAACAAAAAAUCCACAUUGCAGAGAGACCCUAUGCUUGUAAAGAGUGUGGAAAAACCUUUCGCCAGAGUGCAGACCUUACUGUACAUCAAAGAAUCCAUACUGGGGAGAAACCUUUUAUUUGUAAUGAGUGUGGGAAAGGCUUUAGUCAGAGAUCCCACCUUAUUCGGCAUCAGAGAAUCCAUACUGGGGAGAAGCCCUAUGAAUGUAAUGAGUGUGGAAAAACCUUUAGUCAGAGCUCAAAUCUGACUGUGCAUCAGGGAAUUCACACUGGAGAGAAAUCCUAUGAAUGUGAUGAAUGUGGGAAAGCUUUCCAUCGAAGUUCAGGUCUUACUGUCCAUCAGAGAAUCCACACAGGGGAGAAACCAUAUGAGUGUAAUGAGUGUGGGAAGGCCUUCAGUUGCAGCUCAUACCUUAUUGUUCAUCAGAGAAUACAUACUGGGGAGAAACCUUAUCAAUGCAAUGUAUGUGGGAAAGCCUUUAGUCAGAAUUCACAUCUAAUUCUCCAUCAGUCAACUCAUUCCCGAAAGAAACACCAGAUUCCUCCAUUGGUUAGAGCCCAAUGUUAAUGGAAUCAGGGAUUCAUAUUGAUUCCUUGGUUCUGCAACCAUAUCCUGUACUCAGAUUAGCCAUUUCACAAAUGUCUACUUUGCUCAAAACAGAAACUCAAGCGAGAAAUUGCAGACAGCUCCCAGCAACUGUUUUGUAUGAUUACAAAGGGAUAGUAUAUUUCCACUUGUAUAUUGGUUUGUGACUGCAUUUCAGUUCUUUUCACACGGGAGUUGUUAGAUUUUUAACCACUGAGGCCAGCCACUCAAUAUUAUCUCUGGUUUUGAAAAUAAAACACCACCAUAACUUAGUAUAUGUGGCGAGUAAUUAUUACUUCAUAAGCAGAUAAAUUUUUUGUCUCAUCAAAUGUAAAGCCUUGAUUCAGUCUGAUAUGGGGAGGGGAGUGCUGAAUCAAGCAAUAAAAUCUAAGUUAAAUCCUUUUCAGACUGGGCUGGAAAUAUAUUCCUAUUGAUGAUUUGUGUCUAAAGAGAUAUACCAUAAAAAAAUGUGAAACUGAUCCAUGAAUCUGUGAUUGUCUUCCAUGGGGUUGAAUGUGCAGAGUAAGCCAUCAAGGGAGGGUAACUUGGAGGAUUAAAAAUCUAAAACUAUCACCAAACUCAAUCAUACCCCAUUCCAAGAAUUCAUUUUUUUUAUUAGAGCUAAAAGGACAUUUAUAGACCCAGCUCUCACUUGUGGCUCCCAGUAGCUGCUAGCAUGCGGCAGCAGCCACACCCCAGGCAACGGCUUCGACAGGCCAGCCAAACCUUGUGAGAGUAGCCAUCAGGUAGUUGUGGACCCCUGGUGAACCAGGGCUUUGCUCACCCAGCAUGUGAAGACUGCUUCCGCUGAACAGAUGGAAGAAACCAAUAAGAAGGUUCAACGGCUGAGAUGGCAACACAGCAAGGCACUGUGGAGUGCUUAGGGCAUGUUGGAGCACAGAGGACAACACGGCCAUCCAAUGCAGCUGAGCAAGUCUCCAGGUGUAACAACUUUUCAUGCCACUGGACCCAGGCUUCCAACGCCGAGAGAGUGGGACUGUCUCUGUGCAACGACUUUUCCACUUAAAUCUCCUUCACGCACAAGUGUCUUUGUGCACACUCAUCUACAUCACAGAUGAAAAUGCACAAAGACAAUUGUCAUCCUCAGUUACCGAGAGACUACUACCACUACCCUUCAUUUUAUAGAUGAAGGAAACUAAGGUGCAAUGAGAGGAAUGGUUUGCCCAAGGCCACAUAUUUGAUAAAGAGCAAAGCCAGGAUUUCAGUGUGAGUCUCCUGACAAAAUUCAGUGCUGUCAUAGUCACAGUAGGUUUACACCUAGUCCUUUUCACCUGUGUAGUUGCUUUUCUGAAAAACCAAUCUCCUUACCCUGUUUUUGCUGCCAUCUACCCAGUCUCAAGUUUAAUAUUACUUUGGACACAUUUCUUACCGAUUUUGUGCCAUCAGUCACCACAUCUUCAUUGUUCUUGAAUUACUGUGAUACCUGUCAUGUAUACCUUGGCCCUAGCCACAGCACUUAACCUGUUUGCCUCAGUUUCCUUGACUAUAAAAUGGGGAUAAUAAUAGCACCUUCUUCCUAGGAUUGCCACAAAGACCAAAUGAGAUAUUUGUAAAGUGCUUGUGCAUAGUGGCACAUAGGAGGCACUAUAUAAACAUCAGCUAUUAUUUUUAUGUGGAGGGUUUGAGAAAUUGUGAGCAUUAGGGACUGGAAUGAAGCUAAUGGUCUUAGAGUAAUAGGAAAGUUUGGGAGACAGCAGUGUAACAGUUAAAAUUUAGGAAUAUGGGGAGACUGAGGCGGGUAGAAAUUAGUUUCUCUCUGCAAGGAGUAUUAUAUUUUUUUAGAGGUUUAUUAAAGGUUAAAGAUUAAAGAAAAUACAGAAUAAGAAAAAACACGUGCCUAGGCCAGAUAACCUCACAUCACAGAAGAGAUACAUCUGCUCCAAAACGGAAGUCCAAAAGAGAGGACCCAAAAACCUUUGCCACCAGCUUAAAUCCUUCCUCGAUCUCUGCCCACCUCAGAAUUCCCGUGAGAUUACAAAGCAUUUUGGGGAAGUGGAGCAAAGGCUUGUGGGGUUUGUAGUGAUGUAUUCGAGUCUAUUUUUUACAUGCCCCCCAUUGGAUCGUUGGGGAGCAAAGUUUCCCCAAAAAGGAUCAUGAGAACAUAAUCAACUUAAACAUUACAAUAAUUUGAGGAUAAGAGAAAGAAAAAAAAUUAAACCAAUAAUUGCUGAAACGCAUUGACAAAAAGCCAGUUAGGGGGCAGUCCCCUUUGGCUUGAAAGUAUACAUACAAAUAAAUGUUCAAUCAACCACACCCAAAGUUCAAUUUUGUGCAACUUGUGGUCUGGAGGCUUCUUCAUGGUGGCUUCUCCAACAGUUCAGUUCUGGAUUCAGAGAGGUAGCAUCUUCUUUACCUAAAAUUCUUCUCAAAAGGAAUUUAAACUUUGCAAUUUAAAUAAUAAUAAUAUAUAUAUAUAUUUUUUUACAGCAGGGUCCAGUGAACCAGCAUUAAUUUUUUUUAAACCCUUACCCUGUGUCUGGAUACUAAGUAUCCAUUCUAAUGCAGAAGAGCUUUAAGGGCUAGGCUGUUGGAAUUAAGUGACUAGGCUAGGGUCACACAGCCAAAAAUACCUGAGCUCAAAUUUGAACCUAGGCCCUCCUGCCUCCAGACCUAUCCACUCUAUCCACUGAGACUGCCCCACAACAAGCAUUUAAGCAUCUGCUAAAUGCCAGGCACUAUUGCUAAGCAUUGAGGAAACAAAGGCAAAAAUACUCUGCUCCCACAGAAUUUACAAUUCAAUGAGGAAGACAAACUAUACUUAAAAUAUACAGAGGAUCAAAUGGAGAACUUCAGGGAAGGGAAGGCAGGAACAUUAAGGAGGACUGUGAAAGGCUUCUUGUAGAAAGUGGGAUUUUAGUUGAAUUUUGAAGGGAGUCAAGAGACAGAGAUGAGAAGAGAGAUUUUACACAUGAAGACCACCAAUGAAAAUGCCUAGAGUUGGGGAGAGGGAGUGCUUGCUUAAGGAACAGAAAGGAGGCCAGUAUCAUGGACUUUACCUUUGGGAAAUAAAGUGUAAGAAGCCUGGAAAAGUAGGAAGGACCCAGAUUAUGAAGAUCUUUGCCAGAUUGUUUUUUCAUUUGAUUCUAGAGCUGAUAGGGAGCCAUAGACAUUUAUUGAGUAGGGGAAUGUCAUGAUUUAGAUCAGUCUGACAGCUGAGUGGAGAUUGAACUACAGUGAAGAGAAACUUUAAGGCAACCAACCAACAGGCUCUUGCAGGGGGCAGGUUUGAGAUGAUGAGACCCUGCACCAAGGUGGUGGCUGUGUCAGAAGAAAAGAGUAUCUGCUAGAGAUAUAAAAGUAAAACUGUCAGAUUCCAGUAACAAAUUGGAUAUGGGGAGGAGAGAGAAGUAGAAAUUGAGGAUAACACCUAGGUUGCAAACCUGGGAUAUUGGGAGGAUAGUGAUGUCCUUGACAGGGAUAGGAAAGUUUAGGAGGGUUUGGGGGAAGAAACAGAUGAGUUCAGUUUUAGAUAUGUUCAGUUCAAGAUGUCUAAUAGGCAGCUAGAGAUGCAAUCUGCUUCUAUUCCCCCUGAACUUCUUUUCCUCAUCCAUAGCCUAAUCAUAGGUUCUCAUCUUCUAAAUGACUCAUUUUUUAAAAAAAAUGUAUUUUUCCCCUAAUUACAUGGAAAAUAUUUCCAACAUUUUAAAAAUAAUUUUGAGUCUCGAAUUCUCUUCCUCCCUCUACCCCCAUCCCUAUUCCUCUGCUGAUAUGGUAAGUAAACUCACAUAGAUUUUACAUGUAUAAUCAUGUAAAACAUUUUCCCAUAUUGACCCUUUUGUGGAAGGAAACUUGAAAAAAAUUAAGAAAGUGAAAAAAGCUUGCUUUUUGUCUGGAUUCAAGCUAUCAGUUCUUUCUCUAGAAGCAGAUAGCUUUUUUUUUUUUGGUAUCGUGAGUCCUUUAGAAUUAUUUUGGAUCAUUUUAUUACCGAGAAUAGUUUAGUAAUUCACAGUUGUUCAUUGAACAGUAUUCCUGUCACUGUCAAUGUUCUGGUUCUGCUUCAGUUCAAGUAACUCUUUCCAGGUUUUUCUGAGUUUCUCCUCAUCAUUUUUCUUAUAGCACAAUAGAAUUCCAUUACAAUAAUAUACCAUAGCUUACUCAGUCAGUUCCCAAUUCAUGGGUAUCCUCUCAUUUUACAGUUUGUUACCUCCACAAAAAGCUGUUCUAAAUUUUGUUUUUGUUUUUCAUCUCUUUGGGAUACAAACCUCGUAAUGGUAUUAUUGGGUCAAAUAGUAUUAUGUAUUGCUUUAUAACCAUUUGGUAUAGGACCAAAUUGCUCUCCAGGAUGUUUGAAUCAGUUCACAACUAACUCCCUCAACAGUAUAUUAGUCUCUCAAUUUUCCCACAACCUCUCCAAGUUUUGUGAUUUUCCCUUUUUUCUGUCUUUUUUGUCAUAAUUUUUCUGUCUUUUCUGUCAUAAUUAGCAAUCUGGCAGGUAUGUGGUGAUACCUCAGAGUUGUUUUAAUUUUCAUUUCUUUGACUAAAAAUGAUUUAGUCCAUCUUUUGCAUGACAGUAGAGAGCGUUUUUAAGAAAUGUCUGUUCACUUACUUUGACCAUUAAAUCCCUCAUCCUCAAUUCAGCUUCCCUGGUUAAUUUUUUGUUUUGUUUUGUUUUUUGCUUCAAAGUAAUCUCAUUUAAAUUACCCUCUCUUGUUCUUCCCUGGCACUUCUCUCAAUCCUGUCCUGUUUUUCAGCUGAAUGAAUUUAUUCCUCUACCCAACUUUGUGUGUGUGUGUGUGUGUGUGUGUGUGUGUGUGCACGCGCACGUGCAUGUGCUUUCCUCUUUUGACAGGCUCAGAUUAGAAAGAAGCUCAGAUGUUAUUUCUUCACUGACUCCUCUUUAUUUGUAUAAUCUAUUUGCGCAGUCCAAUUAUGUAAGGUAAUUUCCACCAACUUUUCUUCUCUCUUCCCCCUUCUGCUACACACAUAUUUUCUUUCACCAUCUCUUUUCUUUUAAGAUUAUCAAUACAUUAAAAAAUCACCUGAAGUCCUCUAUAUUUUUAAACUUCCUCUAUAUCACUGCUGAUAUGAUUCUGAGAGGACACAAAUAUCUUUGCAUAUUCGAAUGUAAGCAGUUUGUCCUUAUUUAGCCUCUAUAUAAUCACUAUCUAUUUUUUAAAAAAUCCUUACCUUCUGUCUUAGAAUCAAAUCUGUAUUGGUUGCAAGACAGAAGGGUGGUAAGGGCUAGGCAAUGUGGGUUAAGUGACUUACCCAGGAUCACAUUGCUUGGAAGUGGCUGAAUUCAAAUUUGAACCUAGGACCCCAUAACUCCUCCAAUCACUCAUUUAAAAAUUAUUUUAAAAUACCUUGACUACUGCUUUUUACAUGUCAAACUUUAAACGUAACUGUUCUCAUAAGGAAUGCUUGGAAGUUUUCUAUAGCAUUCAAGAUGCAUUUUAGAGUUGUAGAAAUAUACUAAAUUCUGCCAAAUAAGUUAUUCUUGAUUGUAAACCUAUAUCUUUUGCUUUCUCGAUAUUGUAAUCUACACUCUUACUUCUUUAUUAUGGUGACUGCUAAAUCUUAUGUAAGUAUGACUGUAGCAUCCUGGUAUUUGAAUUCUUUUGACUGUUAGUGGUACUUUUUGUUUAACCUGGAAGUUCUGGAUUUGGGCCAUAAUAUUCCCAAGAGUUUUUAUUUGAGGAAUAUUUUAUUACUUCUUGUUCUCAGGGAGUCAUUAAAAAUUAUUUGGUCUAUUCUAAUUUAGGAGAAAUCUGUUGCUUGGAUAGUUUUAUAUCUCUUGUGUCAAAUGUUAAUAGGGAUAAUAUGAGGAUUGGGUUCAGUUACUUAUAAAUACAUUUGGCUAUGAUCAAACAAAAUUUAUCCCUGGUAAUCAAAUCUGCUGGUGAUGAACCUCUUCCUUGCCUUUACAUUUGGGUUGAAUGGAGUGUGCACACUGAUAGAGUCUAGAAGCCUUAAAAAUAAGUUUCUUAAUUAGUGGUUUGUUUUUAAUUAAAGCUAGUUAAUUACAUGUUAUAACAAAUUUCCACGCAAGUUUUCCUAAGUUAUAUGAUUGAACUUAUCUUCCUCCCUUCCCUUCCUUUCCCUUCCCACUCCUAGUGCUAUUAAUCAGUGGUUUAACCAGGCACCAAACAACUGUGAAAGAGAAUUUUUUACUCUAUUGUCUAUCCUGAGUUAACACAAAUUUAAGUACCCCUACUUACUAAGGUACUACCUCACUAGACUGAAGACAGGAUUAACUCCCCCUUAUCUACUUUUGAAUUGAAUCAACAAAAGAUUAAAUACCCUACUUAGUACUAGGUUAGAAACUAGCAAGGUACUUAGAGAAUUCACAUCCUUAGAAAUUCAAUCAGCCUUGAAUCUGUGAAUCUUUUUGAUGAGAACUUAACCUUCAGAAGGUGAGAAGUCAAUCCUUACAGACACUGCUUCCUGGGCAGUGAUAGAUAAUUUGGAAACUGUGAAGAGGAGAGGGAACAAGAAGUCAUCAUAAAAAGCAAGCCCCAAACUCCUUCAGGGCAGAUUGUCUUUGAGAAGAUAGUCUGAAGGUAUUGUCUUCUGGAGGUAGUCUUCUGGAGACUGUGGCUUGGAUUGUGGGCUUGGAGCUAGGCUUCAACUUGGACUCUGACUCCUAGACUGCUUCAUUGGGUGAGUGAAAGGCUGACUCCUUUCCUAGUUUCUGAAGAGACUAACUUCAAUGUUGGAGGAGGCAAUGUGGUUACUCACUACCAGCCUUCCUGGUUGAGAGCUAAUUGAUCUCUUCUUGGAUUAAGCAAAACUGGAGUAACACAUUUAGGUUGACAGGAUAGAUAACCUCUCUAACCCCCUCACAUUUCUCUUGUUUCUUCUCUAUUUGUAUAUAUUUGUAAAUAAAUUUUUGACUCGA